rnacentral:rRNA from 1 species
AGCACAGAGGAGCUUGCUCCUCGGGUGACGAGUGGCGGACGGGUGAGUAAUGUCUGGGAAACUGCCCGAUGGAGGGGGAUAACUACUGGAAACGGUAGCUAAUACCGCAUAACGUCGCAAGACCAAAGUGGGGGACCUUCGGGCCUCACACCAUCGGAUGUGCCCAGAUGGGAUUAGCUUGUAGGCGGGGUAACGGCCCACCUAGGCGACGAUCCCUAGCUGGUCUGAGAGGAUGACCAGCCACACUGGAACUGAGACACGGUCCAGACUCCUACGGGAGGCAGCAGUGGGGAAUAUUGCACAAUGGGCGCAAGCCUGAUGCAGCCAUGCCGCGUGUAUGAAGAAGGCCUUCGGGUUGUAAAGUACUUUCAGCGGGGAGGAAGGUGNUGAGGUUAAUAACCUCAGCAAUUGACGUUACCCGCAGAAGAAGCACCGGCUAACUCCGUGCCAGCAGCCGCGGUAAUACGGAGGGUGCAAGCGUUAAUCGGAAUUACUGGGCGUAAAGCGCACGCAGGCGGUCUGUUAAGUCAGAUGUGAAAUCCCCGGGCUUAAC